ACUGGGUGUGGUGGCGCAUGCCUGUAAUCCCAGCAGCUAUAGAGGCUGAGGCAGGAGGAUUGAAAGUUCAAAGCCAGUCUCAGCAAAAGCAAGGUGCUAAGCAAUUCAGUGAUACCCUGUCUCUA
rnacentral:sRNA from 1 species